rfam:Plautia stali symbiont DNA, complete genome.
CCUGGCGGCAACAGCGCGGUGGUCCCACCUGACCCCAUGCCGAACUCAGAAGUGAAACGCCGUAGCGCCGAUGGUAGUGUGGGGCCUCCCCAUGCGAGAGUAGGGAACUGCCAGGC